rfam:Stenotrophomonas phage IME13, complete genome.
GCAAGUAUGGUGGAAUUGGUAUACACUGGAGGCUUAAAACCUCCCGCCUUCGGGAUUGUGGGUUCGAGUCCCACUACUUGCA